GGCGAGAUUGUGCCACUGCACUCCAGUCUGGGCAACAGAGCAAGACUACGUCUCAAAAAAGAAAAGGAAGAAAGAAAGAAAAGCUGCCUUCGGAAGCACGGCAGCUCCAGGGAUCCGUGCCGCACCCAGGGGCCUCUCAGAGCUGCCAGGAGACACAGGACGACUGAAGAGAGCGCCCGACCCAGGGCUGCGUGGCAGACACGGCAACUCCUGAGGCAUCCUCGGCUGUCACAGCACCACUGAGUGUUGUGGGCAAUGGUGAGCCGAGUCCAGGUCUGGCUCAGCCACGGUGGGCGUCAGGAACAAGUGAAUCUAAAACUCACCUAACACUUGCCUCGGGGUUUGUUGAAGUGUCCUGAAGCCACCAACCUACUGGUUUCUUAGACAUGAUACUUGGAUUGGGUAACCUCCACAGGCCUCCGUGGAUUAGACACUGACCCCACAUCUGUGUCCACAGCCCACAGCCUCUCGAGUGCCAUGUGGAAUGUUGUGAGCUUGCCGCCAGCACAAAAGCUGAGGGCAGCUGCCCCACCGGAAUGAUGCUCUUCACCUGUCCACUUUUUACCUCUGAUUUGCUUUCGAGUACGUGUAGCAAUUUCACAUUCCAAAUUGUUAAACACUUCAGUACAAACCAAGAUGAACAGAAUAUCAAGAAAAAAAAUACCUAUUUAUUUUAGGUCCUCCCUUUAGGAAACAUAUGUCCCUUUUCUUGGAGAGAAUUAGGAGACUUUUUGAGAAAACUGAGUUGGCAGGUUACUUUUUGUUGUAGUAACAGAGUUUUGGGGAAGAGGGAAACCAGAUGCUAGGAUGCAUGUCAGGCGCUCCGUGGGCUGCACUGCACCCAACCACCUGGCCCGAGGCUUCAGGACCACGGCAGGCACUGCUUCAACUCCAGUAACCUCAAGUCAGGUGCUGCUAAAAUCACGUCAACAUUUUAUUUUGAAGAUUCAAAAUUAAACGAGGAUGAAAGAAACCAGGAGAAGCCACACACAGCAGCUCUGCCCGGAAGGGGCAGGGAGCUGCCCCUGCACUACCACAGCUACCUGGGGAAAAACCAAGGGGCCAAGACCUACGGCAAUGUGGGCUGGCUGAAUCUGGUUCAGAAACAGAAUGUGACAACUUGUUCUCCUCAUCUGAAAUUCAGGUUUUGGAAAAAUGUUUAAAGACAGGCAAAUGAAAAGAACAAACCAGCCAGGCACAGUGGCUCAUGCCCAUAAUCCCAGCACUCGUGAGGCUGAAGUGGGUGCAGUUUGCGCCCAGGAGUUGGAGACUGCAUAGUGAGGCCUCGUCUCCACAAAAAUAAUCAUCAUCAUCAGCCGGAUGCAGUGGCUCAUGCCCGUAAUCCCAGCACUCAUGAGGCUGAAGUGGGUGCACCGUUUGAGCCUCGGAGUUCGAGACUGCAUAGUGAGGCCUCGUCUCCACAAAAAUUAUAAUAAUCAUUAGCCAGGCGUGGUGGCGCACGCUUGUAGCCUCAGCAACUCUGAAGGCUGAGGCAGAAUUGCUUGGGACCAGGAGACAGAAGCUACAGUAAGCCAAGAUCGCACCAUUGCAGUCCAGCCUGGGUGACAGUGAGAUCCUGUCUCAAAAUGAAAAGAACCAUAAAAAUGGUACAUACAGUGGGACCAUCACUUAAAACAUAUUCAUAAAAAGAUGGGCAGAAUCACCAGUAGGUGAGAAGUCCCUCUCUCCUCCUCCAGCCCUAUCCAGAUCUCCAGGCUUUCCUCAUGGAGAACCCAGCUAAGCGGGAAAGACAUCUGGGACACCACUGGCCGCAGUGGGGAUGGAGGGUGGUGGUCCGCGGGCUCCAGCUGCUCACAAGUUCAUAGCCGCUGGCUUCCUCCAAUGCUGAGGCUGCUGCAGGGAGACCCUGGUUCCUGCGGCUCGGCCCCAGCCCUGGCUAGGAUGGCUGGUGGGCAGGUGGCGUGUGGCGCACAGACCAGAGCUGGGAAGGUCUGAGCUUCAUGGGUAACCAAAACCCCAAAUGACCCCCACAGGCUGGCAGCCAGUGCCCUACUGCAACAAGACUGUUGGCAUCAUCUAAUGGCUGGGGUGUACAUAGGUCCCAAAAAGCCAGCUGCGAAGCACAGGGGAAGAGGUCAUAAAACAAGCACGUUCCUACACAUGGGGUUUCCCUGGACAAUGAAAGAAUAAGCUUCUGCCUGUCACCUCGAGCGUCACACAUGUGUGGCCCAGGCCUCAGCACAACCACAGCAUCUUCCCUCACUCCUGCUCCCAGCCCCUUGCCAAGUGGGUGACAGGGACAAGACAGGACCCUGUACUGCACCAGCGUCGGCAGAAACGCCACCCUCAGGGACCACAUCACUCGCCACAGCCAGUGGUGAGGCAGCUGGCCUGUGCCUGUCUUUAAGCUGAAACCCCAGACUCUGAAAACCAAAGAGCAAACUCUAGCCCGGGCAGCCUACAGACUGUCUUAGGUUCACCCUCGAUCCUUCCUCAUAGGGAGGUCCCAGCAGCCCUGGUCACAGAGAGAAGCAACCGACACAAAGCUGAGCCCUCACUUGUACUGCUUGGAGGACAGCCUCUGCGGUACAGCCUGCCUGCAUGUCCAGACGCACUCUCACUGAGACCUGGGGAGCCAGGAAACACUUUUCCUGAAGACAAAGCCCAGGCAUCUCUGGGUCAGCACGAAGCCCCCUCUGAGCUGGCCGCGCUCUGCAGCAGGGUGGGACUUACACGCUGCCAUCCGCAAGAAACAGGGUGUCUGGGGCAGGACUUACACAUUGCUGUCCUCAAGGGACAAGGUGUCUGGGACCGGACUUACACACUGCUGUCCGUGAGGGACUGGGUAUCCGGGGCGGGACUUACACGCUGCUGUCCGUGAGGGACAGGGUGUCUGCAUCGCUGGACAGGCUCUGCUGCUCGCUGUCGUUGGCACUGGUGGCUGGGGCCAGGGCAUAGCCGGCAUUGACAUAAUAGGGGUUGACUGGCUCCCGCCAGGAUCCAUACCUGCAAACAGGCAAGCAGGGCAUGUUAGUGACAGCCUGCCAACAGCCUCUCAUUUUAUUUCACAUUUUCAUGUUAUCUGAAUAUCUCAAUGUAUUAAUUAAAAACACAAGCAAUUUGGAGAAAAUAAGGAGCAUGGAGAAAAGACCAACAUCUCCACCUGUCCUCUUGUCCCUCUGUCCUUUUCAACGGGGUGCAUUAAAGCACCGGGCAUCUUUCCAGAUCUCUCCUCUGAUUUUAGGCGGGGGCUUUGGUGCACACACAGAGCAUCCACACGUGAUCAUUUGGGUUUGUUUUCCGUGCACGGUACUAGAAAUGGGACGCAGAUGUUCUGCUCAUUCUGCAGUGCGCGUCGGGAGAGGACACUGGGUUUUGAUCAGGAUGAGGCCCUUGGGAUUCAGCUCAGACGUCUCUGCACCUGUGCCCAAGUCCAAGCAUGGCCACGGGACUGAUGUCAGGGCCGGUAUGUGACAGUGUGUGUGGGUGGUGCCACCUCCUGUCCCCCUACCUAGAGCAGAGGUUCCUCCCCAGCUCCUGGGACGAUUCACCUCCUCUUGUUACUGCAAAAUUAGCCAGGAAAUGACACCUUUUUUCAAUCUGCACUUCCCUGAUUAAUGGUCAGAUUGGCAGUUUAGCGUAUUUGUCAUUUAAACUUCUUCCUCUUUAUCUGUUCAUAUGGUUUACCAUUUUCUAUGGGGUGGAUUAUGAGUUUCUUGGUGAUUUACAGAAGUCUUCAAAUAGACUUGUUAUUAAUCUCUGGUUAUAUACGCAAAAAACAUUUUCUCCCUAAAUGUCAUUUUUCUUUUUAACAUUGCUCAGGUUGAUUUUGGUCAAACAAAAUUUUUCAUUUCUAUGAAAUCAGACAGGCCGGGUGCGGUGGCUCAUGCCUUUAAUCCCAGCAC
rnacentral:lncRNA from 1 species